rnacentral:sRNA from 4 species
UUGACAUUGCUGUUUUUUUCACCUAAAUUCCUGGGUAAAGGGUGAGGGAGGCGAACCUCCCUCCUGCAUUCUCUCUGUUAAUAUGCUGGCCAGGCGAUGAUUAACAGGAUAAGCAGCAUGAUGAAGAGUCUCAUCAUCGUCCCUUUCCUUUUA